rnacentral:lncRNA from 1 species
AUUAAGAUUUAGAGUUUAGUAGUAAGGUGGAGGUUCAGAUUUGGGUUUAGUGAACCUAUCAUGUAUCGUUCCAUUUGAAGAUUAAUAAAGAGUGUUCUAUUUUGUUCACUAUUAUGUACUAUACUAUAUUUUUUGUUUCAUUAUAUCUGGGUUUAGGGUUUAUACUUGGGUUUAGGGUUUAGUAAUUAGGAUUUAGGGUUUAUUGAUUAGUAUUUAGGGUUUAGUAUUUGAAAGGUGGGGAUUGAGGUUUGGGUUUGGGUUUAGUGAUAACAGUUUAGGGUUUAGUAUUCAAAAGUUAGGUAUGAGUUUAACAUUUAAGAGUUGUGUGUUGUGUUAGAGUCAUAUACUAUUUCUUAUAUGAAAGAAAACCAUCCUUUUAUUUUUUAUUAUGCACUAAAUUCAUUUCAGUUUCUACACCAUUAAUUCAUUUAUUUAUUUCAUGGAACCACAUCACUAAUUUAAUUUAAAACCGUAUGUGGUAAUAUACACAAGUUACGUGGAUGUCUUCAAAAUCUCUCA